CUGAAGAGCUGAAGGUCGGGGAGGGAAACUGGAAGAGGCCCUUAUUCCUGAGAGUUGGUACCGAUAGAGAAUUGUCAGGAGGGACUUGGACAAAAUGGCUGAUAGGAAGGUUGGAAGUUGUCACCCUCUUUAUUUGUUUUUUUGCUCCUAAGGGGAUACCAAAGAAGGUGAGUUUAUGCUGCAGGUCCAGCUGUACAUCUGUUUGUUUUGUUUUGUUUUGUUUUUCAAGACAGGGUUUUUCUGUGGAGUUCUGGCUGUCCUGUGUCUGGCUCUGUAGACCAGGCUAGCCUCAACUCAGAUCUGCCUGCCUCUGCCUUGAGUUGCUGGAAUUAAUAAAGGUGUACACCACUGCCUGGCCCUACUGUACAUUUUAACAUGGAAUUCACAAUUUACCUCUCGGUGUUUGUGAUUUUCUGCAUUCUCCAAAUUUUGAAAGACCACUCACAAAAGAUUAGAAAAAAGGGGGACUUUUACAGAAAUCAUUAAUAUAUGUGAGUUAUUAAAUAGCCUUUGGUAUAAUAGUACUGGUGAUUAGUAUGGAGAAAAAAAUGAAAAAACUACAUGUCAAUUACUGUGAAAUAUUUUUAGCUAUUUCCUUUUCUUGUGCUUGUUCCUAAAAACAUAGUUGGUUAUGUGUUAUUCUCAAGCUGCUCUGCCUCUAAAGAGCUGAGGAAGAAACUGUGGUUUGGGCUAUCUUUAUGAUAAUGGCCCUUUCCUCUUCAUAAUAUUGCCAAGUAUGGUCAGUUCCACACAAUUGCUCUUAACCUGUGGUAUUAGCAAAUCAUGUAGGUGCUGGUAACAGAUCCCGGAUACACUCAGCACAGGGACAUAUGGGACGUAAGAGCCAUUGCUGUGAGAGGUUAGCUAUCAGCUAACUACAUGCUAACAAGGAGCCGAUGUCACGACGUGGGAACUUGGUGCUGAAGAUGGGAACUCAAAGCUUUGUGCAUUUCCUGAUGCUGUGAUAAAAAUGUGAAUAAAACUGUUCCUACCAUGACUGUGGGAUACCAGUUUCUGUUAAACUGUCAUUACUGAUGUCACAGCACUUCCUGGUGGAGUGCAGAUGCUCGCUACUACUUGCACUUUGUAUGUAAGAGAUGUUCAGUUGUUGAAGGAGUAGAACACAAGUUAGUUUUGUGCUGCUACAAAUAAUUUGUCUAUAUAUUGCUAGAGCACUGAACACAGCCAGCCCAGUAGCUCAGGCAGUUAAAUAACAUUUUUGUCUUUGAAGCCUGAAGUUCCAUAAAAUUAAGUAGCAGUGUUCUGGUGACUGUGAUAUGUCAAACCGUCUAAAAAUAUAGAUUUUUCUUUAAAUAAUCUGUGAUUUACUGUAUACAAAGGGAGGUUUAGGUUAUAGCUUUUAUAAAAAAGAACUUAUUUUAAAUGUUUUUUGAGAUUAGGGGGUGGAUCUCAGUAGGAAACUGCUUUUGUUUUGACUGUUAAAAAGGUACAGAUUUUUUUUUUUUUUGGUUCUUUUUUUCGGAGCUGGGGACCGAAGGUACAGAUGUUUUUAAGUGUAUAUUUAACUGGUUUAGUCUUGUAUAUUAGAACUAUUUAUGUGAUAUAAAAUUACCUAUCUUUCCAAGACCUGCCUAACUACAGGUGUUUUGUCUCUUCAAAUUGAGAAGACAAGAAGAUACAACAUGUUCAUUUAUAUAAACCUAAGAAUAUUCUGCCAUGUCUAGUUAUUUUGAUGCCUAAUUAAUUUUCUGUAUGCACUUCUGUUUAAUGUUUCAGCUUUACUGUUUUUUGAUGCAUUCUCUUCGGUCUUAGCUCAACUGUGAAUCUGUGCAUCUAAUGUGCAAUUUAUCAUCCAAUAAAUGUUAUGUUGUG
rnacentral:lncRNA from 1 species